UACGGAGGGUGCAAGCGUUAAUCGGAAUUACUGGGCGUAAAGCGUGCGCAGGCGGUUUGUUAAGUCUGUUGUGAAAUCCCCGAGCUCAACUUGGGAAUUGCAAUGGAUACUGGCAGGCUCGAGUAUGGUAGAGGAAGGUGGAAUUCCCGGUGUAGCAGUGAAAUGCGUAGAGAUCGGGAGGAACACCAGUGGCGAAGGCGGCCUUCUGGACCAAUACUGACGCUCAUGCACGAAAGCGUGGGGAGCAAACAGG
rnacentral:rRNA from 1 species